rnacentral:lncRNA from 1 species
GACACUCAUGAAUGAAGCACUGAUACCCUGGCGGCAAAUUCGACAGCUUAGUCCGCAAGAUCUGCACUAAGCAUCUUAAAAUGUGCAACACAUUACAUGCUCCUGUCAACGUCACCACACCCUACCAGGAAGUUUCGAUCAAGCACACCCUAUCCAUCCCACAGCACCCUAAUGUGCCUCGACAUUAUUAGUAUAAUUAAGACAAAACACGAUUAUCACAUAUCUGAAAGAAGAAAUGCUACAGUGUUCCAAAAAUAUGCAAUGACAAAAAAGCUAGGCCUAAUGCCAAGAGGUGCAGGGUAUACAAGAUACCAUUAACCUCUAUUCCAUAAAUGGCACAGUAAGCUACUAAGUAUAUAGGAAUAACUAGAUGACACCUGAAAGAAUGUAUGCAGCAGUAUCGAUACGACAUACGAAAUAACAGGGAAAAUACAGCUCUAGUGCAAGCGGCUUACUCAAAGGACUGGUCUGUUAUAUGGGACAACAUUAAAAUCAUUGAUUCACUAC